CAUGCUAGUUGUACGAGUUUAGACUCGUAGCAGAUAGCUCAGUAACACGUGGCCAAACUACCCUAUGGAUCCAGACAACCUCGGGAAACUGAGGCUAAUCUGGAAUACGACUCUCAUCCUGGAGUGGAGAGAGUCCGAAAUGCUCCGGCGCCAUAGGAUGUGGCUGCGGCCGAUUAGGUAGACGGUGGGGUAACGGCCCACCGUGCCAGUAAUCGGUACGGGUUGUGAGAGCAAGAGCCCGGAGACGGUAUCUGAGACAAGAUACCGGGCCCUACGGGGCGCAGCAGGCGCGAAACCUUUACACUGCACGCCAGUGCGAUAAGGGGACUCCAAGUGCGAGGGCAUAUAGUCCUCGCUUUUUGCGACCGUAAGGUGGUCGCGGAAUAAGUGCUGGGCAAGACCGGUGCCAGCCGCCGCGGUAAUACCGGCAGCACGAGUGAUGACCGCUGUUAUUGGGCCUAAAGCGUCCGUAGCUGGCCGCGCAAGUCUAUCGGGAAAUCUCUCCGCUUAACGGAGAGGCGUCCGGUGGAAACUGUGUGGCUUGGGACCGGAAGACCAGAGGGGUACGUCUGGGGUAGGAGUGAAAUCCCGUAAUCCUGGACGGACCACCGGUGGCGAAAGCGCCUCUGGAAGACGGAUCCGACGGUGAGGGACGAAAGCUCGGGUCACGAACCGGAUUAGAUACCCGGGUAGUCCGAGCUGUAAACGAUGUCUGCUAGGUGUGACACAGGCUACGAGCCUGUGUUGUGCCGUAGGGAAGCCGUGAAGCAGACCGCCUGGGAAGUACGUCCGCAAGGAUGAAACUUAAGGAAUUGGCGGGGGAGCACUAC
rnacentral:rRNA from 1 species